CGGCGGCGGGAGCAGCAAGGAGGAGCUGGCCGCCCGGCGCUGCGCCCGGAGCUGCCCCCGCGAUCGCGCCCGCCGGGUCACCAGAGCCCCGAGCCCCGCCCUCGCCUCACCUGGCAUAGGUGGACCCCUGUGUGUGCCGUAGGUGUCAGGAGAAGGCGCAGGCAUGGCAGACAGUGCCAACCACUUGCCCUUCUUCUUUGGCAACAUCACCCGGGAGGAGGCUGAAGACUACCUGGUCCAGGGGGGCAUGAGCGACGGGCUCUACCUGCUUCGCCAGAGCCGCAACUACCUGGGUGGCUUCGCGCUGUCGGUAGCGUAUGACAGGAAGGCGCAUCACUACACCAUCGAGCGCGAGCUGAAUGGGACCUAUGCCAUCUCGGGCGGUAGGACCCACGGCAGCCCGGCCGAGCUCUGCCACUACCACUCCCAGGAGCUGGACGGCCUCGUCUGCCUGCUCAAGAACCCUUUCAACCGGCCGCCAGGGGUGCAGCCCAAGACCGGCCCCUUUGAGGACCUGAAGGAGAACCUCAUCCGGGAAUACGUGAAACAGACAUGGAACCUCCAGGGUCAAGCCCUGGAGCAGGCAAUUAUCAGCCAGAAACCUCAGCUGGAGAAGCUGAUUGCCACCACAGCCCAUGAAAAAAUGCCCUGGUUCCAUGGAAAAAUCUCUCGGGAUGAAUCUGAGCAGAUUGUCCUGAUAGGAUCAAAGACAAAUGGGAAGUUUUUGAUCAGGGCCAGGGACAACGGGUCUUAUGCCCUGUGCCUGCUGCACGAGGGGAAGGUGCUGCACUACCGCAUCGAUAAGGACAAAACUGGGAAGCUUUCCAUCCCCGGCGGGAAGAACUUCGACACCCUCUGGCAGCUCGUGGAACAUUAUUCUUAUAAAUCAGAUGGUUUGUUAAGAGUUCUUACAGUUCCAUGUCAAAAAAUUGGUGGGCAAACGGGAAAUGAUAGUUUUCGUCCACAACUUCCAAGUGCUCAUCCUGCGACUUGGUCAGCGGGUGGAAUAAUCUCAAGAAUCAAAUCAUACUCCUUCCCAAAGCCUGGCCACAGAAAGGCCUCCUCGCCCCAAGGGAACCGGCCAGAGAGUUUGGUGUCGUACAACCCUUACGAGUCAGACCGAGGGCCCUGGGCCAACGAAAGAGGUGAGACAUGCACCCUCAGUCCCUGGAUGUUCAUACUACUUGGAAAAGCUUCUUCUUAUGGUUUCUUUGGCAGAGUUGUGAAAACAGUGGCUGUGAAAAUCCUGAAAAAUGAGGCCAAUGAUCCCGCUCUUAAAGAUGAGUUAUUAGCAGAAGCAAACGUCAUGCAACAGCUGGACAACCCUUACAUAGUUCGCAUGAUCGGAAUAUGUGAAGCCGAGUCCUGGAUGCUGGUUAUGGAGAUGGCUGAACUUGGUCCACUCAACAAAUAUUUACAGCAGAACAGGCACGUCAAGGAUAAGAACAUCAUAGAGCUGGUUCAUCAGGUGUCUAUGGGAAUGAAAUACUUGGAAGAGUGCAAUUUUGUGCACAGAGAUCUGGCUGCAAGGAAUGUAUUGUUGGUUACUCAACAUUAUGCCAAGAUCAGUGACUUUGGACUCUCCAAAGCACUCCGUGCCGAUGAAAACUACUAUAAGGCCCAGACCCACGGGAAGUGGCCCGUGAAAUGGUACGCUCCGGAAUGCAUCAACUACUACAAGUUCUCCAGCAAGAGCGACGUCUGGAGCUUCGGAGUGUUGAUGUGGGAAGCGUUUUCCUAUGGACAGAAGCCAUAUCGGGGGAUGAAAGGAAGCGAAGUUUCUGCUAUGCUGGAGAAAGGAGAGAGGAUGGGGUGCCCCCCGGGGUGUCCAAGAGAGAUGUAUGAGCUGAUGACGCUGUGCUGGACCUAUGACGUGGAGAACAGGCCUGGAUUUGUAGCGGUGGAGCUCAGGCUGCGCAAUUACUACUACGAUGUGGUUAAUUAACGUCUCCCACGCCCGUCCGUGGCUGCCUUUGAGCAGAUGAGCAGUCGCAGGAAGACCAUUCCAGUGCCUUGAUUUUGAGUCUCCAUCUCCCUCUGCCCAUCAGGAGAGCCAGCUCAGGUGGAGCAUAUCCGUGACUGUUGUUCCCCAAAGCCUGUCCCCGAACAAGCCUUCCACAGAGCAGACCCCUCCCGGAGGAGGCCCAGAUUGAUGGAUGGACACCAGGAUUGCAGGACCGGUGGAUUCAUGUUUCUUGUCUGGGUGGCAGGUUAUUUGCAGGAUCGGUUUCCAAAUUCCUUUCUGUCUUUCCAGUUCUGGGGCUGUGGGCUGCACUGGAAUCACCAUAGGGGGUUAAGCGCCCGUUAGCUGCUCUUUCAGUGGCCAGAGGGUGCCACUGGCCGGUGAUGCCUGCAAGGAGGGAAGGAAGGAAGAGACGGGCUUUGGCUGCCACUGGAACGUGGCUCUUACAGGUCCCAAGACUGAGUCCUGCCACUGGAAAACUUUCCCCCAUAAAAGUGCUUUGAGGCUUAAAAAAAAAAAAAAAAAAUCAAGCUGGACCAGUGCAGUUUCUAAGCCAGUAGCUCAGUUAAGGGAAAAAAAAAAAAAAAAAAAA
rnacentral:lncRNA from 1 species